rnacentral:rRNA from 1 species
GAUGAACGCUAGCUACAGGCUUAACGCAUGCAAGUCGCGGGGCAGCAUGGGGGUUGCUUGCAAUCCCCGAUGGCGACCGGCGCACGGGUGAGUAACGCGUAUCCAACCUGCCCUUCACCACGGGAUAACCCGGCGAAAGUCGGACUAAUACCGUAUGUUGUCCAUUGACGGCAUCCGAUUUGGACGAAAGGUUUGGCGGUGAAGGAUGGGGAUGCGUCCGAUUAGCUGGACGGCGGGGUGACGGCCCACCGUGGCGACGAUCGGUAGGGGUUCUGAGAGGAAGGUCCCCCACACUGGAACUGAGACACGGUCCAGACUCCUACGGGAGGCAGCAGUGAGGAAUAUUGGUCAAUGGGCGUAAGCCUGAACCAGCCAAGUAGCGUGCAGGAUGACGGCCCUAUGGGUUGUAAACUGCUUUUAUGCGGGGAUAAAGUGGCCCACGUGUGGGUUUUUGCAGGUACCGCAUGAAUAAGGACCGGCUAAUUCCGUG